rnacentral:rRNA from 1 species
UUUCGGAGCUAACGCGUUAAGUAGACCGCCUGGGGAGUACGGUCGCAAGAUUAAAACUCAAAUGAAUUGACGGGGGCCCGCACAAGCGGUGGAGCAUGUGGUUUAAUUCGAUGCAACGCGAAGAACCUUACCUACUCUUGACAUCCAGAGAAGCCAGCGGAGACGCAGGUGUGCCUUCGGGAGCUCUGAGACAGGUGCUGCAUGGCUGUCGUCAGCUCGUGUCGUGAGAUGUUGGGUUA